CGCUCCCUUCAAGGUGGAUGGGAAGGCUCGGCAUAGAAUAGCGUCGGGUGCGCCAUGAAGCAGCAUCAUCGUCCGAAAGGCCUCCAGGUGGUCAACCGGGUCCGAAGUCCCGUCGUAGCUUUCAAAUUGGGGGAGUUUGAAGUUUGGCGGGAUCGGUUCCUGCAUGAUCAUUUGAGAAAAGGGAGGGUCAGUACAAAUGUCCUCACCAUAAGCAGG
rnacentral:lncRNA from 1 species